UACGAAGGGGGCUAGCGUUGCUCGGAAUGACUGGGCGUAAAGGGCGCGUAGGCGGAUGGCACAGUCAGAUGUGAAAUUCCCGGGCUUAACCUGGGGGCUGCAUUUGAUACGUUUUGUCUUGAGUUCGGAAGAGGGUCGUGGAAUUCCCAGUGUAGAGGUGAAAUUCGUAGAUAUUGGGAAGAACACCGGUGGCGAAGGCGGCGACCUGGUCCGACACUGACGCUGAGGCGCGAAAGCGUGGGGAGCAAACAGG
rnacentral:rRNA from 1 species